CGAGUCGGCCAGGCGAUCGCGGCACCUGGCGGUGUCGAGGAAAGUCCGGACUCCACAGAGCAGGGUGGUGGGUAACACCCACCCGGGGUGACCCGCGGGACAGUGCCACAGAAAGCAAACCGCCCGAAGUUCGCAAGAGCAUUCGGGUAAGGGUGAAACGGUGGUGUAAGAGACCACCAGCGUUCCAGGUGACUGGAGCGGCUCGGCAAACCCCACCCGGAGCAAGAUCAAGAAGGGAGUUCGCUCCCGCGGAGAUGUUCGAGGGCUGCUCGCCCGAGUCUCCGGGUAGAUCGCACCAGGCCGCCGGCAACGGCGGUCGCAGAUGGAUGAUCGCCACCGUCCUUGCGACGGGACAGAAUCCGGCUUACCGGCCGGCUCGCCCU
rnacentral:RNase_P_RNA from 1 species